AACUUAUAAAGAAAGGUGGAGGGACUGGCCCGAUGAAACCUUGGCAACCUCUUCCGUUUCAAUGGAAAAAGGUGCCAAAUCCUAUUCGUCAGCAGACGGAAAAGAUAAGUU
rnacentral:ncRNA from 2 species